rnacentral:rRNA from 1 species
UACGGGGGGAGCAAGCGUUGUUCGGAUUUACUGGGCGUAAAGGGCGCGUAGGCGGCCACUGCAAGUCAGUUGUGAAAUCUCCGGGCUUAACCCGGAAAGGUCAACUGAUACUGCAGGGCUAGAGUGCAGAAGGGGCAACUGGAAUUCUCGGUGUAGCGGUGAAAUGCGUAGAUAUCGGGAGGAACACCAGAGGCGAAGGCGGGUUACUGGGCUGAUACUGACGCUGAUGCGCGAAAGCCAGGGGAGCAAACGGG